GUUUGAUAUUUCCGUCGCCGUGUCGGACGUCGCGACCUGUUCGUCGUCGGUCCCUGCUCGGAGGAAUCGCGAUCGAGUUCGUUGCGCGGUGCGUUUCGGCGUGCCGAGCGGCGAAGACGCGGCUCUCUGGCUGACGGCGGACAGUAAGCAACGGUGUCCGGCGUCGUGUCUCGCACUCGACGCCGGUGCYGGUCUGCGACGAUUUCUUCGGGCCUCUUUCCGACCCGUCUUGAAACACGGACCAAGGAGUCUAACAUGCGCGCGAGUCGCGGGGUUUCGAGCGUGCCACGGUGCGCUCGUUACUUGCGAAACCCGUACGUUGAAGGCGUAAUGAAAGUGAACAGGGAAGAUGGCGUUCCGAGUCCACGUACCGUGAUCGUGUGUCGCGGCCGGACGUCCGCACUCCCGGGGCGUCUCAAUGGCUCGUCGCGGAUGCGGACGGUYGUCUCUCGGGGCGGCCGUCGGUCUGCGACGGACCGAGGCGCACCUAUAGCGUGCACGUUGGUACCCGAAAGAUGGUGAACUAUGCC
rnacentral:rRNA from 1 species